ACCACAGAGGCAUUGUAGGUGUGGCUUCUGGGUCACAUGGGCAUCAGUAGGUGGCAGAGAGGAGAGAGCCUAUGUCUACAUUCAGUGCUCUGACCUAUGAACAUCUAAAUGAUUGGUAGCCUGACAUU